rnacentral:rRNA from 1 species
UACGAAGGGUGCAAGCGUUAAUCGGAAUUACUGGGCGUAAAGGGUGCGUAGGCGGUUCGUCAAGUCUCUUGGUGAAAGGCUGGGGCUCAACCCUAUGCAUGCCGGGGAUACUGGCGGACUGGAGACAGGCAGAGGUCAGCGGAAUUCCGGGUGUAGCGGUGGAAUGCGUAGAGAUCCGGAAGAACACCGGAGGCGAAGGCGGCUGGCUGGGCCUGAUCUGACGCUGAGGUGCGAAAGCGUGGGGAGCGAACAGG